GCCAAAGUAAUGAGUUGGCCUUAAUACCAACAGGAGGUGGGAAAUUUGUUUUCAUUUUCUGUUGCUCAUCGUUUUGUUUGGUUUAAAGAAUUGAAGAAGCCAAAUCAAGCAGGUUUUCUUCGUUCAGGAGUUGUUUAACUAGUGGUAGUACGAAAAUGACACCAAGUGUUGGUAUUGGCUGUGAUUGUAUGUUUUUGCCUGGGGAAAAAAGCUUUCGGUUGAUCAGCAUCUGUUGCUGAGUUAACAAUCUUUCGCCGAUUGAGAAUGUAUUCCUUCCAGGAGUGAAGAUCCAAUUGUCUUGAAAACGUCUUGUUGUAGUUGCUGCCUGCAUUUAAAACAACAAUAAAACAAUUGGCACAUGCCAAAUCGUGAUUUAAUAUUUGUCAAGUUGACCGUUGAUAUUAUUACUUGUCUUCACCUUGUAAGUGCACCCUGGUUGUCAC